GCCUGCUCACUGACUGAAAGUUUAAGAGCCGCGGUAUAUUGACCGUGCAAAGGUAGCAUAAUAAUUAGUUUUUUAAUUGGAAACUGGUAUGAAUGGUUUGACAAAAGAAAAGCUGUCUCUGUUUUGAAUAUUGAAUUUAACUUUUAAGUGAAAAGGCUUAGAUAAUUUAGGGGGACGAUAAGACCCUAUAAAGCUUUAUAUGAUGUUGGCGUUUUACUGAAUUAUUGUCUAAAAGUCUAGGUUAAUAUUUUAUUUUGUUGGGGCGACAAGAAUAUAAUUAAGAUAACUGUUUUAAGUUUACACAAUAAUAUUUGGAAAAAAUUAGAUGAUCCUCUAUAGGGAUUUAAAAUCAAGUUACUUUAGGGAUAACAGA
rnacentral:rRNA from 1 species